UGUUGGGUUUAGAUGUGCAUCCCAUAUCGCUAAGAUUGUUGUGAGUUCCACUAGAUAUCAAGAUGUCUUUCGGGUUGUAAAACCAAAAAGCCAUGAUAAAUUAUUCUAGUAUUUAUAAUAAACAUUGAGUCUCAUACCAACAUAUCUUGAUAUUGGAUCAAACUAUUAGACCAUGGAUGCUAAAAAUAGUUCUCCAAAAUGAAAAAGCACUCUAAAAUUUUCCUAACCAGGUUUCUUUGAUCUUAUGUUGUAUUGCAGAUGAACAUACAGUGGCACAAGAAUGAUGCCAUUCUGAAAAGAUACAAUGGAGAUAAGUGGCCAGACCACACCCUUUUCCUGUUAAACAAAUUCCUCCCAUUUUUGAACAAUCAGAUACAUGCUUUUGGUGAAUGCAACACAGACAAAGAAGAUAUGUCUAAUAGCCUCCAAGCUUGAGGACAAUCAAGGCCAAUUCAUUCAGUGGCCUAAGGUUCAAUUGCUUUCAUAAGUCAAAUUUACUUGUCAUAAAUUUCAGUUACUCAUUUCCUACCAAUAGCAUCACCUCUUUCACUGUCUCUUAGAUUGAAAAGCCUGUCUUUGAGAAAUCCAACCGGAUCACUGCUCCAACUUACAACAUGCAGCUGCACCAACAAAGGACUGGUGAUACUAACAUUCAAUGUAGAGAUUAUCUUUCUGGAUUUUGUCUAAGUUUUGGGCUUAGACAUAAUUAUAUUAUGCCUUUUCUGCUUAGCAUUCCUCCUAAUAUCACCAAGAUGUCAUAGAAAUGGAGUGAAGAUAUUGUUGGCCACUCAUUUUUCCAUUGUUAUCUUUUUAUUUUAAAGAAUUCUGUUUAGUUGAAAAUUCUGGUGUUGUUGUUCAUGUAGGGCAUAUACAAUAUUGCUUCAUUUUACGGUUAGUAUUAGGAAUAUAAAAUAAAACUUCUUAGUCUCUUUAUCUCUACUCCUUGCCAAAUGAAAAAUUAAAAAAAGAAAAGCAUGCAUACACAUAAACUUGCAAAUCAACUGCACCCUCAAGAUCAGUUGCUUUUGCUAAUUUUGAUGAGGACUUUUAAUUGAGAAUUGUGAGACAAAAGACAGGCAGAUUUUUCUAAAGUGGAUGAAGAGAUUCUUAUAGAAAUUCAACUACUCUUUUUGGAACCCUUAUCCAAAAUCAUGACAUUCUACUACUCCCACUUUGCCUGAGCUACCUCAUAAAGUCACUAAUCACAUAACUAUAGAUGUAAGUAUCCAAAAAGUGGGUUCAAAAACCUAGCUAUUUGUCCUAUCCUCACUUCAUUUAAUUCAUCUAUCACCAUACAAGAUAAUAAGAUUGAUUAAUCGAUGCUUAUCAUUGGGUUAAAUUUAAAUUGAGCUGACUCGAUCAUAAAAGUCAGUUGAGCUCAGCUUGUUUUAAAUUUAUUUAGUUUAAAUUUGAAUCAAGUUCAAGCUAGAUGAGUUAGAGUGUCUUUUAAACUAAACCAAACUUGAGUCAUGGGGUAUUUGGAUCUAGUUUGACAUAAAUUCAUAGUUCGAAUUUAUAGUUCUAGUUCAACUUGAAUUGAUGGCUCGGAUCCAUAGCUCGAAUUUGUGAUUUAGAUUUGUGGUUUAAAGUUUGCGACUCAUUUAUAAAACGAUGUUAUUUGGCAGAAAAGAGAGGUAGAGAGACUAAGAAGUUUUUCUAUUCUUAUUACUUGUUGUAAAAUGAAACAAUAUUGUAUAUGCCUAAUAUGAACAACAACAACACUGUAAUUUUUAAAACACACUUCUUAAAAAUAAAAAGAUAACAAGGGAAAAAUAAGCAACAAAUUAUAUAGUCACUCCAUUCCUAUGACAUCUUGGUGACAUUAUGAGCAAUGUUAAGCGGUGUAAGAUAUUUAUAGUUUUGCUCAAAACUUGAAGGAAUUUCAGAAAGAUAAUCUCUACAGUGAAUAUCUAUAUCACCAGACCUUUGUUGGUACUGUUGCAGGCUGUAAGCUGGAGCCGUGAUCCUGUUGGCUUUCUCAAAAACAGGCUUUUCAAUCUGGGAGACAAUGAAAGAGAUGAAGCUAUUAGUAGGAAAUGAGAAGCUGGAAUUUGUGACAAGUAAAUUUAACUGAUGAAAGCAGUUGAACCUUAGGCUACUGAAUGAAUUAUGUCUUAGCUCGAAACUUAAGCAGCAGCGACAAACUAUAUUUUUUUCUUGAUUUUUGAUCUGCACCGGCUCUUAGAUGGAUGGUUCAUGGAGGUUCUUUCAUUCAGAAACCUAAGAUCCAAAUUAUUCUGAGGAAGGCUCAGAGUCUGGACAAGACCACAACUGCUGCUGAUGGUGCCACAGCACCUAAUGUGGAAUCCGAUAGGCAUGCCUGACCCAGCAGUUGCUUAAGAAUUCCCUCUCCGCGGUCUUCCGCAUAACUGUUCUUCUUCAGUUUAUAUGAGUUUUUAAAAGAGAUGUAUAUAUACCCAUUAGUGUUUGGAGUUGCAUUUAGAUAAUCUGCUAACAUGAUGAUUUGAUUGAGAUGGAGACAUUUUAUUGGAGCAGAUCUUGUGAAGCAUAGCAUCUCCAUUUUUUUCCACUGUAGUGUUGCCAGUUUUACCUGCAAGUGUAGUUGAGAUAUAAUAAACAGAGCUUUUUUGUUCAGGUUAGACUUGUAAGUUGCAUUUUACCGCAAAAAAACACAAAUUCUUGUU